rnacentral:rRNA from 1 species
AGAGUUUGAUCCUGGCUCAGGACGAACGCUGGCGGCGUGCUUAACACAUGCAAGUCGAACGAAUGAACUUCAGUGGACUUCUUCGGAAAGAAACAGAAAUGAUUUAGUGGCGAACGGGUGAGUAACACGUGAGAAACCUGCCUAUCACAAGGGGAUAGCCUCCGGAAGCGGUGAUUAAUACCCUAUGACAUCACAAUAUCGCAUGGUAUAGUGAUCAAAGAUUUAUCGGUGAUAGAUGGUCUUGCGGCUGAUUAGCUAGUUGGUAAGGUAACUGCUUACCAAGGCAACGAUCAGUACCCGGCUUGAGGGAGUGAACGGUCACACUGGAACUGAGACACGGUCCAGACUCCUACGGGAGGCAGCAGUGGGGAAUAUUGCACAAUGGGCGAGAGCCUGAUGCAGCAACGCCGCGUGAGCGAUGAAAGCCUUCGGGUCGUAAAGCUCUGUCCUCAAGGAAGAUAAUGACGGUACUUGAGGAGGAAGCCCCGGCUAACUACGUGCCAGCAGCCGCGGUAAUACGUAGGGGGCUAGCGUUAUCCGGAUUUACUGGGCGUAAAGGGUGCGUGGGUGGUUUCUUUAGUCAGGAGUGAAAGGCUACGGCUUCACCGUAGUAAGCUCUUGAAACGGGAAACUUGAGUGCAGGAAAGGAAAGUGGAAUUUCCUAGUGUAGCGGGGGAAAUGCUUAAAUAUUAAGGAGGGAAACCA